CACCGUUACCACUGUUGCCUAGCCAGCGACGAUGCCGCUCGUCGCCCAGCCUGCCACGACCCUCGCUGCCUCCUUCUCCACCACCGCCGCUGCGCUCCGGCCAGCAACGACUGCAAUUGCCAGCCACCGCAGCCUUCACCUCAACCCCCUCGAUCUGCACCAUUGCUGCAGCCCCCUUGCUUUGCAUCUUUACCGCAGCCGCUGGUUGCCACCACUGCAGCCUCAACCCCAGCUGCUUUAAUGCCACC
rnacentral:lncRNA from 1 species